rnacentral:tRNA from 1 species
GCCUCUGUAGCUCAGUUGGUCAGAGCGCCGCACCGGAAUCACGGGGCCGUAGGUUCAAUUCCUACCAGAGGAG